AACUCCAGUUAGAAUUAAGUUCCCUUACUUGCUACGUGUUGUUUCCCUUGCUACGUGUUGUUUCCCUGUUUGCUGUGAGAUUUAGUUUUCAUUCUACUAUCACACGUGUGCGUUAUCUCUCCACCGAUUCCUAUUUUCCCAAAAACCCACCGCCUCCCGUUCUCUCAUCCACUUUACCGGUCUGCUUGCUUUUCAUUCACACCGGCGAAUCCUUCCCUGCCGCCUCAUUUCUCACUCUUUCAACUCCAUCGAAAUAUCAAAGAUGGUGGGCAGCAAGCCGAUUUCUGAUUCCGGUCGUUCUUUGGUUGUGCUAUUCAUCAUCAGAAAUCGAUUAAGAGAGGGAAACGAUAUUUUCUCCAAUUUCUAUUCACCAUGACCCAUACAAUCGAACGCUGCCGACUCCCCCUUAUCAGAUUCUCCCCACCGCCUCCCUUAUUCGAUAUCUCCAUCCGUGUCGAAUCGGCCUCAUUUCCUCUGCACUUACUACUCCGUCGCAACAACGCAACGAGGACACAGGUAACUUUUUUAUUUUACAAAUUAGAGGUUCAAUUAUUUGUUUUCUUUUUUGGGUUGAUUUUGUUUGUAGAUCAAUUUUACAACUGCAAAGGCAGGAGGAUUUGAAUGGGUUAGUUGGAGACGUUGAGUACAGGUUUGGGAAGUGGAAAGACUCAACAAGGUUACUACUUUUGGAUGAGAAACAUGCCUAUAAGGCGUUCGAUGAAAUGCCUGAUCCGAUUAAGGUAAUUUGGUUUGGGGGGAGACAGAAGGCGAGGGAAAACAGGGAAUAGUGUAGGAGCAGUUUUGAACACCAACUACUUGACAAAAAUCCUCAACGAAAAAUCUGGUCAAGAUUGUGUUUCUACUUGGUAAACUGUAUGAUCGAUCUCUUCUUUUACACCAAAUUACAAUUCUACCCUUCAUAAGUUUUUCAUUAAAGGAUGCACUUGCAACUGCUAAAAAAACUCACUUCAAAUCGCAAGGAACAAUUGAUUAAGCUUCAUAAAUAUUUUCUUAAUAUGAGAGAAUAUAGUGACAAACUUAUACCAACUCCAGACCAAAAAAUGGAGAAACAAUUUGAAGAAUUGAGGGGCAUAUCAGGUAGAUAUGAACAUGACAAGAAAGUUUGGGUGGCUACAGUCAAGGAAGUAGGUAUUGAAACCAUACCACUCCCAGCUCUCUCUUCAAGCACACCACUGUGCUGACUCAGUUCCUUCCUGAUCUCAAUAACAUGGUUUCUGCAGUUCAAGCAAUGGUUGCACAGUGUGAGCAUCUUAAAGUCAAAUACAACAAAGAACAAAUCAAGGGAAGAAAGCUUCAUAAUCAAUUUGAGGAUAUAAAAGUUUCAGGAAACAUGGUCAACCAUGGUUGACUUUGAUUCAUCAUCAAACGGACAUUGCUUCACCAUUGGUGGCUUCACUUUUCUAUGUGUGCAUAUUUCAAUAUGGUGAAACAGAGACAGGAAAGACAUUUACCAUGGAGGGUAUUGAGGGAAAUCGAGGGGUUAGUUACAGAACAGUAGAGGAAUUAUUCAAAAUUGCAAAAGAAAGAAUUGAUACUUUUGCUUAGCAGUGGAACCUACAAUUACAAAUGAUUAUGCACAAGAUUCACCAUCAAAGUUGUCUUCUCCUGGGCCAAAAGUCUGAAACUUCCACAACCUUUAGGAGGCACACAAGAUGAAUCUUCUUCAUCUGAAAACACUCCAACAAUGAUAAUGCGCAUGGGUGUUUCAUCUUCAGGAAAGUUGCCAAGUCCCGGGUGGUAUAUUGCUAAAGAUUUAUGUGGUGUUUAUUUGGCAAAAGAGCAGUUUUCCUUCCAAUAAAUAAAUGAAUAAACUAUGUCGCAUAAUCUAAAUCCGACCCCCGCAAUGGCGGGGGCACUUUUCUAGUUAACUAAUAAGAUAGAAGAAAUGAGAUUGAAGUGACAUGGCGACCAAUGAGAGGUUAACAUACGUCCUCAUUAGAAAAAUGGGUGCGUUUAAAAUCCCUGUUUGGUUGAAGGACCAAGAAGAAUUUAAUCGAAACAUAAGGGGCUAAAAAGGCACAACUAAACAUGAAUUUGAUCAAAGAAUGGCCCAUCUUCGUGCCGCUCUAACCAGCUUAGCUAAUAGGCGUUUUUGUUUUUUGUUUUACAUAUUUACAAAAAAUAUUAAUUUCUGAUGUUGAUAAUAUACACUUUUACAGUUUUUUAGUUUUAUAUCGUUAACAUGGUACUUCCUGUUUA